rnacentral:rRNA from 1 species
GUAGUCCACGCCGUAAACGAUGAGUGCUAAGUGUUAGGGGGGUUUCGCCCCUUAGUGCUGCAGCUAACGCAUUAAGCACUCCGCCUGGGGAGUACGGCCGCAAGGCUUAAACUCAAAGGAAUUGACGGGGACCCGCACAAGCGGUGGAGCAUGUGGUUUAAUUCGAAGCAACGCGAAGAACCUUACCAAAUCUUGACAUCCUUUGACCGCUCUAGAGAUAGAGUCUUCCCCUUCGGGGGACAAAGUGACAGGUGGUGCAUGGUUGUCGUCAGCUCGUGUCGUGAGAUGUUGGGUUAAGUCCCGCAACGAGCGCAACCCUUAAGCUUAGUUGCCAUCAUUCAGUUGGGCACUCUAAGUUGACUGCCGGUGACAAACCGGGAG